rnacentral:rRNA from 1 species
UACGAAGGGGGCUAGCGUUGUUCGGAAUCACUGGGCGUAAAGCGCAUGCAGGCGGAUCGUUAAGUCGGGGGUGAAAUCCCGAGGCUCAACCUCGGAACUGCCUCCGAUACUGGCGAUCUCGAGUCCGGAAGAGGUGAGUGGAAUUGCGAGUGUAGAGGUGAAAUUCGUAGAUAUUCGCAAGAACACCAGUGGCGAAGGCGGCUCACUGGUCCGGUACUGACGCUGAGAUGCGAAAGCGUGGGGAGAAAACAGG